rnacentral:rRNA from 1 species
GGGUUGUGAGGUUAAGCGACUAAGCGUACACGGUGGAUGCCCUGGCAGUCAGAGGCGAUGAAGGACGUGCUAAUCUGCGAUAAGCGCCGGUAAGGUGAUAUGAACCGUUAUAACCGGCGAUUUCCGAAUGGGGAAACCCAGUGUGACUCGUCACACUAUCAUUAACUGAAUCCAUAGGUUAAUGAGGCGAACCGGGGGAACUGAAACAUCUAAGUACCCCGAGGAAAAGAAAUCAACCGAGAUUCCCCCAGUAGCGGCGAGCGAACGGGGAGGAGCCCAGAGCCUGAAUCAGCAUGUGUGUUAGUGGAAGCGUCUGGAAAGGCGCGCGAUACAGGGUGACAGCCCCGUACACAAAAGCGCAUGUGCUGUGAGCUCGAUGAGUAGGGCGGGACACGUGGUAUCCUGUCUGAAUAUGGGGGGACCAUCCUCCAAGGCUAAAUACUCCUGACUGACCGAUAGUGAACCAGUACCGUGAGGGAAAGGCGAAAAGAACCCCGGCGAGGGGAGUGAAAAAGAACCUGAAACCGUGUACGUACAAGCAGUGGGAGCACCCUUCGGGGUGUGACUGCGUACCUUUUGUAUAAUGGGUCAGCGACUUAUAUUCUGUAGCAAGGUUAACCGAAUAGGGGAGCCGGAGGGAAACCGAGUCUUAAUUGGGCGUUAAGUUGCAGGGUAUAGACCCGAAACCCGGUGAUCUAGCCAUGGGCAGGUUGAAGGUUGGGUAACACUAACUGGAGGACCGAACCGACUAAUGUUGAAAAAUUAGCGGAUGACCUGUGGCUGGGGGUGAAAGGCCAAUCAAACCGGGAGAUAGCUGGUUCUCCCCGAAAGCUAUUUAGGUAGCGCCUCGUGAAUUCAUCUCCGGGGGUAGAGCACUGUUUCGGCUAGGGGGCCAUCCCGGCUUACCAACCCGAUGCAAACUGCGAAUACCGGAGAAUGUUAUCACGGGAGACACACGGCGGGUGCUAACGUCCGUCGUGAAGAGGGAAACAACCCAGACCGCCAGCUAAGGUCCCAAAGUCAUGGUUAAGUGGGAAACGAUGUGGGAAGGCCCAGACAGCCAGGAUGUUGGCUUAGAAGCAGCCAUCAUUUAAAGAAAGCGUAAUAGCUCACUGGUCGAGUCGGCCUGCGCGGAAGAUGUAACGGGGCUAAACCAUGCACCGAAGCUGCGGCAGCGACACUGUGUGUUGUUGGGUAGGGGAGCGUUCUGUAAGCCUGCGAAGGUGGCCUGUGAGGGUUGCUGGAGGUAUCAGAAGUGCGAAUGCUGACAUAAGUAACGAUAAAGCGGGUGAAAAGCCCGCUCGCCGGAAGACCAAGGGUUCCUGUCCAACGUUAAUCGGGGCAGGGUGAGUCGACCCCUAAGGCGAGGCCGAAAGGCGUAGUCGAUGGGAAACGGGUUAAUAUUCCCGUACUUGGUGUUACUGCGAAGGGGGGACGGAGAAGGCUAUGUUGGCCGGGCGACGGUUGUCCCGGUUUAAGCGUGUAGGUGUGUGUUCCAGGUAAAUCCGGUUCACUUUAACACUGAGGCGUGACGACGAGGCACUACGGUGCUGAAGCAACAAAUGCCCUGCUUCCAGGAAAAGCCUCUAAGCAUCAGGUAACAUCAAAUCGUACCCCAAACCGACACAGGUGGUCAGGUAGAGAAUACCAAGGCGCUUGAGAGAACUCGGGUGAAGGAACUAGGCAAAAUGGUGCCGUAACUUCGGGAGAAGGCACGCUGACACGUAGGUGAAGUGAUUUACUCAUGGAGCUGAAGUCAGUCGAAGAUACCAGCUGGCUGCAACUGUUUAUUAAAAACACAGCACUGUGCAAACACGAAAGUGGACGUAUACGGUGUGACGCCUGCCCGGUGCCGGAAGGUUAAUUGAUGGGGUCAGCGCAAGCGAAGCUCCUGAUCGAAGCCCCGGUAAACGGCGGCCGUAACUAUAACGGUCCUAAGGUAGCGAAAUUCCUUGUCGGGUAAGUUCCGACCUGCACGAAUGGCGUAAUGAUGGCCAGGCUGUCUCCACCCGAGACUCAGUGAAAUUGAACUCGCUGUGAAGAUGCAGUGUACCCGCGGCAAGACGGAAAGACCCCGUGAACCUUUACUAUAGCUUGACACUGAACAUUGAGCCUUGAUGUGUAGGAUAGGUGGGAGGCUUUGAAGUGUGGACGCCAGUCUGCAUGGAGCCGACCUUGAAAUACCACCCUUUAAUGUUUGAUGUUCUAACGUGGACCCGUAAUCCGGGUUGCGGACAGUGUCUGGUGGGUAGUUUGACUGGGGCGGUCUCCUCCUAAAGAGUAACGGAGGAGCACGAAGGUUGGCUAAUCCUGGUCGGACAUCAGGAGGUUAGUGCAAUGGCAUAAGCCAGCUUGACUGCGAGCGUGACGGCGCGAGCAGGUGCGAAAGCAGGUCAUAGUGAUCCGGUGGUUCUGAAUGGAAGGGCCAUCGCUCAACGGAUAAAAGGUACUCCGGGGAUAACAGGCUGAUACCGCCCAAGAGUUCAUAUCGACGGCGGUGUUUGGCACCUCGAUGUCGGCUCAUCACAUCCUGGGGCUGAAGUAGGUCCCAAGGGUAUGGCUGUUCGCCAUUUAAAGUGGUACGCGAGCUGGGUUUAGAACGUCGUGAGACAGUUCGGUCCCUAUCUGCCGUGGGCGCUGGAGAACUGAGGGGGGCUGCUCCUAGUACGAGAGGACCGGAGUGGACGCAUCACUGGUGUUCGGGUUGUCAUGCCAAUGGCACUGCCCGGUAGCUAAAUGCGGAAGAGAUAAGUGCUGAAAGCAUCUAAGCACGAAACUUGCCCCGAGAUGAGUUCUCCCUGAGACUUAAAGUCUCCUGAAGGAACGUUGAAGACGACGACGUUGAUAGGCCGGGUGUGUAAGCGCAGCGAUGCGUUGAGCUAACCGGUACUAAUGAACCGUGAGGCUUAACCUUACAACGCCGAAG